rnacentral:rRNA from 1 species
GACGAACGCUGGCGGCAUGCUUAACACAUGCAAGUCGAACGGAAAGGCCCUGCUUUUGUGGGGUGCUCGAGUGGCGAACGGGUGAGUAACACGUGAGUAACCUGCCCUUGACUUUGGGAUAACUUCAGGAAACUGGGGCUAAUACCGGAUAGGAGCUCCUGCUGCAUGGUGGGGGUUGGAAAGUUUCGGCGGUUGGGGAUGGACUCGCGGCUUAUCAGCUUGUUGGUGGGGGAGUGGCUUACCAAGGCUUUGACGGGUAGCCGGCCUGAGAGGGUGACCGGCCACAUUGGGACUGAGAUACGGCCCAGACUCCUACGGGAGGCAGCAGUGGGGAAUAUUGCACAAUGGGCGGAAGCCUGAUGCAGCAACGCCGCGUGCGGGAUGACGGCCUUCGGGUUGUAAACCGCUUUCGCCUGUGACGAAGCGUGAGUGACGGUAAUGGGUAAAGAAGCACCGGCUAACUACGUG